UAUUGAUCUUAAGCAGCAGUCACAAAUCCAUCAUUCUGCUUUAAGUGUGUCAUGUCAUUGUAGGUAUAGACAGUGGGAGAAAGUCCAGCAUCCAGUUGUCAAAAUGUACUUAACCAUUUCAUUGGGAAUCCAUCCUUUAUUCGGGAGUAGAGAGAUGCAUACUGCACUAAUAUCUUCAGUUCUCGGUGUGCUAGUUUCCAUUAUACAGUUUAUGUAUAUACAUGUUUACCUAUAUAUCUAUGGAUCUUGUAUUUCAUGUGAAGGUUUGCCUUAUGUCAUAGAGAACGAAUAAUAUUUGUCCUUUGGGGAUUGGCUUUUUUCUCUGAGCAUAACAGUCUAGUUCCCCUCUAACAUUUUCUUCCUCUCUGUCAGAUAAAAACUGAAAGUAGAAUUUAAAAAUGUGCAAAUAAGUAAAUAAAUAAAGCUCAAUUCCAGUGAUUUGACCACAGAUGCACUUCUCCCCGGAUGAGCCAGAGAACCAGAUAUGGGUUUUGGUCACUCCUGUCAGCAAGCUACAGGGUGUUAAUUUUCUCACUGGUUUCCUCACCUAUAAGAUGGGAUUAAUGCUGCCAUUACAGAAUGAUGUUUAGGAUUGAGUGGAAAGAUUUCAGAAACACCUAGUGAAACUGAUUCUCCACAGGCAUGCGUAACCCUUGAUUUUGCUUUAGCAUGUUUCUUCACUAGAAAAAGUUUUUGUGUGUGCUGUUUAUCUGAUUAUCUUUAAACUAAACUUGAAUGACCUAGACUGGAAUUCCUGUUAAAGGAGACAGUGAUUAAGAUUCCAGGAGCUGAGCAGUAAUAAGGAAAAUUCCAAUUUGAUUGAAUUAGUUGUUUGGAGACUGUGCUCUGAGCCGUUCCACCUUGAAGUGUCAGCGGCCAGUGAUCAGGUAAUAGAUGAGCUUACCCUUCUAGGGGACUUCACAUGCCAGCAAGCCAGUGAGGACGGGCUUCUGGGACUUCGCUUUGCAGUCUUUCCACCAGGCGGGCAGCCCAGGCAGAUGGUCAGAUGACUCGUGGAAGUUUGUACACAAUUUAGAGAGUCUGAUUUCUGCAGGCAGUGGGGAGGGGCCACUUGAAAUGAAUUGAAUUACUCAUGCCCUAUGAUUUCAUUUGCAUACGUGCCAUUUAGAUGAACAUGGGUGCAGCUCCUACGCUGUGCUGCAAAUUCAGGUUUGGGCCUCUUGUUGGCCGAGUUGGGCUCUGCCCAGAGUGUACCUGUUUGUUGAUGCCUUGACUCCCAGGACCUCAGAAUGUGGGAUCUUAGAGACAAAUGCAAGAGAGCUAUUUAGGGUGGUUGAGAAGAGGAAAUGAGCACACACAGGGAGGGUAGUUAAAUCACAGAGCCAACCAUGGAGGACAUUUCAAGAAGACUGGAAGCCAAGGAGAGCGCCCUUGGGGAAAGCAGCCCUCCCCACAUGGUGAUCUGGGCCUUUUAGCCUCCAGAACUCUGGGCGAAUAGGAUCCCAUUGUGCCAGCCUUCCAGUCUGGGAUGCUUUCUUUGGUAUCCCUAGCAAAGUUAAUACAGGGCUUAUUUCUCAUCCUUAGACAGGUGUUAAAUGUUUAUUUUUGCAAAACCCAAACCCUUUGUCAUAAAAAGCAAAUGGAGAAUGCACUAUAAAAGAACCCUUUUCUCAUGAAGUAAUAAUACUGAGCUACUCAACCUGGUAUUUGAAAUAAUUAUGUCAGAGGAAUCUUCUUUAUGCUGCCACAGCCAUGACCUCUUUCCUUUUCCUAUCAAGUUCCAUCCUAUCCCAGUAAAACAAGCAAGUAUAUCUGGAGACAGCUCUUCUACAUUUGCUUGCUGUAUUUUUGGGUGCAGUUCCUAAUUUACCAGACUUUAGUCAUUUUUCUAAGUAGCAGGAGAAUCUUUGUGUUUUUCUGUUGUCACUUCAUGAAAACCACGUGAGCAGACCAGUUGAAGGGAAAAACCUUAGUGCUUGCUGAGCACCUGCACAGCGUUCUCCAACUUACAUAAAACAUCCCCUUUAGUGAGAAGACAGCAGUAGCCUGAAUGCUGACUAGCCCUGCCAUUAUCUGAUCUGUAGUACCUGGGAGUUAACACCAGUUAUUGGAAUCUGCAGUCACAAACCGUUUGGUGAACUGUGAAAGCAACAUAUCCCAGGGCUGCAAAUCUGUUAGCAUAAGCCUGGAAACAGUGACUAAUUUUCAUGUGCAUGCCCCCUUCUUCAAAGAGGGGCACUGAAGGAAAAAAUGGGAGAAGUGGCUGACUUCUGAACUAUUCCAUAAUAAUUCUGAGGAAGAGACAGCUACACUAAGGACAUGGGUCACGUUUCUGGAUUGGUAUAUCCCAUCUAAUAGCUAAAAGACUGAAAUUGUUUCCUGGGGCUUGGAAUGGCUGUAGAAAAAGGAGCCACAAGGGAAAAAGAUGCUAAUUAAGCCUACUCAUUGCCAGUCAGGCUCUGAGUCAAAUGUGGACCAGACUGGUUUCUGUAGGUCCCUUGGGCAUGUUUUUAAAGACUUGUAAAAUACAUGUAAUGACAAAGACGUUUUACGACACAGAGCUGAAAAGAUUUCACUGUCUGACUCUGGGGUGUGAAAGUUUGCUACUCUUUGCAUAUAGUUAACAGAGAGUUUAUAUUCCAAGUUGAAAGACCAAUGGCAUACUGUGGACUCUGGAAUACGAAUGAUCAUCCCAGACUUGUGUGGUGUCUUAUUACCCUGUUUCAGACCUUCUAGAAGGUCAAGGGCUCCUCUCUGUCCUGCAUUAGUUUGUGAAGGCUGCUGCAGCAAGGCCUUGUGAACCACAGAAAUGUGGUCCAGCACAGUCCCAAAGGACAGCCCACCAGAAUCCUCUGUGGGCAGGGUUGGUUCCUUCCAGGGACUGUCCCAUGCUUCUCCCUGACCUGUGAUGCGUUACUGGCUUUCUCUGACACAACACCAGGAGUGCUGUUCUCAUCUUCACAAGGUGUUCUCUGUGUGUGUGUCUUUCCAGAUUUCCCUCUAAGGACAAUGGUCACAUUGGACAAAGACCACCUUAUUACCUGCCAGGACCCUACUUUCAAACAAGUUUGCUUUGACAAGUGCCAAAUACUUCAGACAAUUGGGGCAACAUGAAAUUAAAAUAUAAGUUCACUUUGGCACAAAAAAAUGUGAAAUUCAUUUAUUUCUUUCAUCACAGGCAUUUUAUG